CCUACGGGAGGCAGCAGUGAGGAAUAUUGGUCAAUGGGCGUAAGCCUGAACCAGCCAAGUCGCGUGAGGGAUGAAGGUUCUAUGGAUCGUAAACCUCUUUUAUGAGGGAGUAGGGUGUGGGGCGAGUCCUAUUUUGUAUGUACCUUAUGAGUAAGGAUCGGCUAACUCCGUUCCAGCAGCCGCGGUAAUACGGAGGAUCCGAGCGUUAUCCGGAUUUAUUGGGUUUAAAGGGAGCGGAGGCGGAUUGUUAAGUCAGUUGUGAAAGUUUGCGGCUCAACCGUAAAAUUGCAGUUGAAACUGGCAGUCUUGAGUACAGUAGAGGUGGGCGGAAUUCGUGGUGUAGCGGUGAAAUGCGUAGAGAUCACGAAGAACUCCGAUUGCGAAGGCAGUCCACUGGACUGCAACUGACACUGAGGUUCGAAAGUGUGGGUAUCAAACAGGAUUAGAUACCCCAGUAGUC
rnacentral:rRNA from 1 species